rnacentral:rRNA from 1 species
UACGGAGGGUGCGAGCGUUGUCCGGAAUCACUGGGCGUAAAGGGCGCGUAGGCGGCGCGGAUAGUCGGCGGUGAAAGCCCGGAGCUCAACUCCGGGUCGGCCGUCGAUACUUCCGGGCUUGAGCACUGUAGAGGCAGAUGGAAUUCCGGGUGUAGCGGUGGAAUGCGUAGAGAUCCGGAAGAACACCGGUGGCGAAGGCGGUCUGCUGGGCAGUUGCUGACGCUGAU